rnacentral:lncRNA from 1 species
AAAUAAAAUUUGUAAACAAAAAGAGAAAAUUUUGUGCGAAAACAACGAUAAUAAUAAUGAAAAAAAUAUAAUCUACGUUUCUGCAUGGAGUGCAGAAUUCCUUAGUACACCAAAGGAAAUAAUAAAAGCUUUAUCUGAUGAAAAGUUUUAUACUCCUAAAACAAUACAAUCUUUAACAUUGCCACCAGCGAUAUUUGGAAGAAGAAAUAUUCUUGGAGCUGCUGAAAAAGGCAGUGGGAAAAUUUAGCAUUUGGUAUUCCUCUAUUUUAAAUGGUAUAUUAGAAUUAAAGAAAAAAUAUUUACACACACACAGAAAACAAGAUGAUGGAUUAGAAAAUGAAAGCUAUGAGGAAGAAUUGGAAUGUUCCAAUGAUGAAGGUAGUCAACUCGAUGUACUUUUGGAUAAAUACAACAAAUCUUUUCGCUUAGAUAUUAAAUUGAAUGGAUAUUUUGAAAUUAAACUAAAGAACAAAAUUAACAAUUAUAUCUCUAUAUAUUUUAACAAGAAAUAAAGAAUUCCAAUGGGAGUGAGACUUCUAAAGAAAGUGAGAAAGAAAUAGAUGAAAAUUUUGAUAAUGUUGGAGGGAUUGGAUGUGUACGUGUGACAUAUAAUGUAAAAAAAAAGGAAAAAAAAAACGAAUUCUUUGCAAAAACCAAUUUACGCAUUGAUAUUAACGCCAACCAGAAAAUUAGCUAUUCAAGUAAAAGAUCAACGUGUUAAAGCAGCCAAAUAUACUGAUAUAAAGUUAUUAUUAACAAUUGUUUUAACAUCAGAAUUAAUAAUUG